CAAAUUCCCCCCAAAAGGAGCCCCAAAAUCCUCAUGGUCCUUCUGGGGAGCCUUGAAACUGCCAAAAUCCCCCCUGGAGAGCCUCAAAACCACCAAAAUCCCUCCCAGGGAGCCCCCAAAACACCCAAAUUCUUCUGUGGGAGCCCCGAAACUGCCCAAAAUCCCCCUGGAGAGCCCCAAAACCACCCAAAUUCCCCCAAGGGAGCCCCAAAACUGCCAGAAUUCCCUUAUGGGAGGCCCUGAAACCACCAAAAUCCCUCUGGGGAGCCUUGAAACCGCCAUAAUUCCCCCGGGGGAGCCUUGAAACCACCACAACUUCUAUGGGGGAGCCCCGAAACCGCCCAAAUCCCCCCCUUGAGAGCCCCAAAACCACUCAAAUUCCCCCAAGGCAGCCCCAAAACUACCAUGGUCCAUCUGGGGAGCCUUGAAACCGCCAAAAUCCCCCAUGGGGAGCCCCAAAACCACCCAAAUCCCCCUGGGGGGCCCCAAAACCACCCAAAUCCCCCCCCGGCGGCCGGACAGAGCAGCAAGACGAGGAGCAGGGGGCGAAGAAAGUCAUCGAGAACCCGAAACCGAGGGGAACGGCCCCAAAACGCGGCCCCGCGGCAAUAAAUAGGGGGUCCCCGGCCCCACGGGGGGGGUCCUCAGGUCAAAGGGGGGGUCCCCAGUAUAAAAAAAGGGGCUCCCAGUACAAAGGGGGGAGGGGAGCAGUAAAAAGGGGGGGGCUCGGCCCCAUUGGAGUGAGCUUGACCCCAAAAGGGGGUUGUCUGACCCCAAAAUGGGGGGUCCCCAGCCCCAAAAAUGGGGUUUUUCAGCCCAAAAACAGGGAGGUCCCCAAAAUAGGGGUUCUGGCCUCAAAAUGGAGGUCCCCGGUCUCAAAAAAAAGGAAGGUCCCAACCCCAAAAGGGGGUUCGCCGCCUCAAAAUGGGGGUCCCCGGCCCCAUAAAGAGGGUCUCUGGCCCCAAAAAGGGGGUCUCCGGCCUAAAAGUGAGUGUUUUUUACCCAAAAUUGGCAGUCCCGGCCUCAAAAUGGGGAGGCCCCCGGCCCCAAAAUGGGCGUCUUGGCCCCAAAAUGGGGGGUUUUGACCCCAAAAGUUUGGUGUGAGCCCCAAAACGGGGGGUUUUACCCCAAAAUGGGUGGUCUUAACCCCCAAAUGGGGGGUCUUGGCCUCAAAAUGGGGGGUCUUAGCCCCAAAUGGGGACGUUUUAGCCCCAAAAAGGGGGGUUUGGACCCCAAAAAAGGGCUCUAACCCCAAAUAGCGGGGUCUUGUUCCCAAAUGUGGGGCUCUCAGUCCCAAAAACGGGCGUUCUGUCCCCAAAAUGGGGCCCCCCCCCCCUCCUUGCCGGGACCACGGCCUGGUGUGGCCCCGCGGCCUCCGUCACCUCCAGGGCCUCCUGGGGGGGGGCUGGG
rnacentral:lncRNA from 1 species